rnacentral:lncRNA from 1 species
UUAAAAAGUUUUAUAAAAAAAUUUUAAUGGCUCAAUGUUUGCCACUGUAUGCAUUUUACUUAUUUUCUUCCCCUCUAGUAUGCUCUAGUUUCGGUAACUUUAGUUAAUGUCCAUAAAUAACUUUGAUCAUCAAAAUCAACCAGAAGUAAAUCAGUAAAUGGAUUUUUUGUUUCAAAUUUGUGGUAAAACUCAAUUUAGUUUAACUGGUUUUUCACCUGUAAACCUCUUUUUUGAGAAUUAUCUUGCAUUAGGUAGAUAACUGCACAUUACAAGCCUUUCAGAUUGAUUAGAAACUCUAAUUUCGUUAUUUAUUGAUUUGUUUUUCAGAAAGCUAUAAUAAACGAAGUGGCCAAGAAGCACGGCCCCACAGCAUAUUACCAAGCAGUCAAAGAUGAAAUGAGAAGCCUUUCCUCCGACGAUGACUCUGACAAUGAUUUGUCCAUAUGGGACCUCCCUCUCAUACAGUAUGAGAAUCAACUUCACCCUCUCAGGAACAAAAUGAUUACGCUAGAUAUGGAAGUAGAACGGCGCAACUUGCUGGCUCAAAACAAACGACAUGCGGUGAUUUGGAGUAGUCCCAUCAAAAACCCAAACGUUGAUGAGAGAUCGUGCGGUCCCUACGAUUUCCGUAAACUUCUCAGACCUACAGAGCACCCACCCACAGAAUCUUUGCGUAGAAGGCUCGACGCACGAACUCGACUUCAAAAUCUUAAAGCAUGUAAUGAUUUUAGCAUACCAAUUGUCAAAUCAUAAUUUUUGACCAUCGCAUGAUUUUUAUAAACUAUUUUUACCGAAGCAAUAAUUUUCAUUUGAAGUCCUAUUGUUUAUGUGUAAGUAUCGGAAGUUCUCUUCUUUUGAAAUAUCUUGAUACAUUUGCAGAAUCAGCUGUUAAACUGCAUUUAAUGUGAUUUGUCAUUAUUGUGUCUUGAAACUCAUGAUCUAAUCUAUUCAGUGGAAUCGAAAAAAUCUCUUACCUUUGAUAAAUCGAAAAGCCUCUAGCCCGUUUAACUUUUGAGAAGCAAAAAUGGACACCUUUAGGCAGAAAAAGUCAAUUUUAUAGGAAAUACAUUGCAAAUUGACUUCUGCAUUAGGAUGCCUAAUUAAAUGUGGGAUCAGUUGUGCUUACUGGAAAAUGUUUCUCUUUUUUCCAUUUUUUCUGCAUCAUCAAGUUUCAAAAUACAUAGCAAAGGAGCCAUCUAGUGGGUUUUUGUUCAGCACUGGAAGUAUUUUUAUAUACCUAAUACACUUUACCUUGCUGUAAGCUGAAAGUCUUGCUGCACACACAGCGGGAUUAAACAUUUUUUGACACUCCAACUCUCCAGCUUUUUGAUGAAUUUUAGUAACAAAUUCAAUGAAAGGUUUAAAUUUUCGAAUUUUUGAAUAUCUUGAAAGGUUUGACUUUUGUUCAAGCUAUUAAAUUUAAGGUGCCUAGUCAUUCAAUGAUGUGCUUGUAAUUAUUGGAUCUCAUGUCUUUUUUGUAAAUAUUGUUGGAAAGAGAGUAAUAUUUUGCGAUAAAAUAGAAUAGUAUGUAAGGUUUAAGACUAAUUUGUUUUCAAAUUUCAAGUAUGCUCUCAAAUUAAAAGUUGAUUUAUAUUAAUUAUGUUAUUCUGUUGAGAAUAAAUGCUUCACAGUUAUCAUAAGGCAUUUCAUUCUAUUAUCCCUUGCCCUAAGUCAGAAUUUCAGUAAGUAAAUAAUUAAUAGAGACCAUAGAAUAUUUUAUGGAAAUUUUGUGUGAUUCCAGACAAAAUUUCCGGCAAUAUUCUCAAGUAGAUACCUACCUAGCACGGCGCAACGACAAUCCUGAAAUAAAUUGCAAUAUUUUACAUCAUUGGGUCAAUAAAAUGAGUUCUAUGUCUCAGAAAGAUGGAAAAUUUGUAAUGCGGAAAAAGAACUAUCCCAAUAAAUACAAAUCUCAACAAUAGGAGUCCUUUCAAUGAGUAGUUAGGUCAUAGCAAUAUACACAACACUCUUUCAUGGUGGCAAUAAUUUUACUCAUGUAAUCACAAUUAAGUAAUCACAAUCUACUUUUCUACCAUGCUAACGUUGUCUCUCAUAUCAGAUAUGGUCUGAUUCUGUGGGGUCGUAGCGUCGAUGCUCCUGAUGUUUUUAUUCAACAAAAAAAAUUAUUAAGGAUAAUGUUUAAUAGACCUUUAAAUUCCCCCUGCCGCCAGCUAUUCAUCCAGAAGGAGCUCCUUACCCUUCCUUCUAUCUAUAUUUUUGAGUGCAUUAAAUUCUCCAUCUUCUCUAAAUUAAUUACGCCUUUAGAUCUCUAUCCCUCCCACUCUUAUAAUAGCAGAUACAAAAGCAUAAAAAAUUCUAAGAUCAGACUAACUUCAACAAUGCGCAAUGUAAAGUAUUCUUCUAUCCAAUUAUUUAAUGCCUUGCCUUGGGAACUAAAAUCUCUUUUCGUGAAGGCCGAGUUCAAUAUUUUCUAAGUAAGCUCCUGGAGCAUCUCCUAAAAAAUGCUUUCUACAGUAUCGAUGAACUGCUGAAUGGAAUAACCCCGGCCCCCCUCCUGGUUGAAUAGCUGACUCUGCCUCUCUUGUUACUACAAUAUUCUGUGCUCUCUGAUUGUUAUAAAUUUAAUUACUUUUUGUAAACUCUAAAACUUUAUUGUACCUGAAUUGACUUAUACUAUAGCUUCACGGCUCCUGUGUAUCAAAAUGUAAUAAAUAAAUAAAUAAAUAAAUAAAUAAAUUAAUUACCACUUUUGCUGUGUGGGGAGUGGUUAAAAGUACUUAAAAGUGACAUUCAAGUCCUUUAAGAUUUUCGUCUCAUGGCAACUUCACAAAGCA